rnacentral:lncRNA from 1 species
UAGCAGAAAGUUAACAAAAACUGAAGGAAAUUAAGAAAUACAGUACAUAAUUGAGGAAAUUAGAGAUAAAAUUGAAGAUAACACUUAGAACUCGUCCCUUGGUUGAAUUCCAGAUUGAAAUCUUCCUUUUAGUUUAUUCUUCCUUCAAUUCCCCCAAUUUCUCUUAUAUGCUUUUUCAUUAGUUUUGCACUUGUUCCUUUCUCCCUUUUGAGUCUCCAAAAGGUCU